rnacentral:rRNA from 1 species
GAUGAACGCUGGCGGCGUGCCUAAUACAUGCAAGUCGAGCGAACAGACGAGGAGCUUGCUCCUCUGACGUUAGCGGCGGACGGGUGAGUAACACGUGGAUAACCUACCUAUAAGACUGGGAUAACUUCGGGAAACCGGAGCUAAUACCGGAUAAUAUAUUGAACCGCAUGGUUCAAUAGUGAAAGACGGUUUUGCUGUCACUUAUAGAUGGAUCCGCGCCGCAUUAGCUAGUUGGUAAGGUAACGGCUUACCAAGGCAACGAUGCGUAGCCGACCUGAGAGGGUGAUCGGCCACACUGGAACUGAGACACGGUCCAGACUCCUACGGGAGGCAGCAGUAGGGAAUCUUCCGCAAUGGGCGAAAGCCUGACGGAGCAACGCCGCGUGAGUGAUGAAGGUCUUCGGAUCGUAAAACUCUGUUAUUAGGGAAGAACAAAUGUGUAAGUAACUAUGCACGUCUUGACGGUACCUAAUAGAAAGCCACGGCUAACUACGUG